rnacentral:rRNA from 1 species
AACGAACGCUGGCGGCAGGCUUAACACAUGCAAGUCGAGCGCCCCGCAAGGGGUGCGGCAGACGGGUGAGUAACGCGUGGGGACGUACCUUUUGGUUCGGAACAACUCCGGGAAACUGGAGCUAAUACCGGAUAAGCCCUAACGGGGAAAGAUUUAUCGCCGAAAGAUCGGCCCGCGUCUGAUUAGCUAGUUGGUGAGGUAACGGCGCACCAAGGCGACGAUCAGUAGCUGGUCUGAGAGGAUGAUCAGCCACACUGGGACUGAGACACGGCCCAGACUCCUACGGGAGGCAGCAGUGGGGAAUAUUGGACAAUGGGCGCAAGCCUGAUCCAGCCAUGCCGCGUGAGUGAUGAAGGCCUUAGGGUUGUAAAGCUCUUUUGUCCGGGAAGAUAAUGACUGUACCGGAAGAAUAAGCCCCGGCUAACUUCGU